rnacentral:rRNA from 1 species
AUUGAACGCUGGCGGCAGGCCUAACACAUGCAAGUCGAACGAGUGGCGGACGGGUGAGUAAUGUCUGGGAAACUGCCUGAUGGAGGGGGAUAACUACUGGAAACGGUAGCUAAUACCGCAUACCAUCAGAUGUGCCCAUGUGGGAUUAGCUUGUUGGUGGGGUAACGGCUCACCAGGGCGACGAUCCCUAGCUGGUCUGAGAGGAUGACCAGCCAGACUGGACCUGAGACACGGUCCAGCCUCCUACUGGAGGCAGCAGUGGGGAAUAGUGCACAAUGGGCGCAAGACUGAUGCAGCCAUGCCGCUAGUAUGAAGAAGGCCUUGGGGUUGUAAAGUGCUUUCAGCGGGGAGGCGUUACCCGCAGAAGAAGCACCGGCUAACUCCGUGCCAGCAGCCGCGGUAAUUC